UACGUAGGGAGCAAGCGUUGUCCGGAAUCAUUGGGCGUAAAGCGCGCGUAGGCGGCCUCAUAAGUCCGUUGUGAAAGUCAAAGGCUCAACCUUUGAAAGCCGAUGGAUACUGUGAGGCUAGAGUCCGGAAGAGGCGAGUGGAAUUCCUGGUGUAGCGGUGGAAUGCGCAGAUAUCAGGAGGAACACCAAUAGCGAAGGCAGCUCGCUGGGACGGUACUGACGCUAAGGCGCGAAGGCUAGGGGAGCGAACGGG
rnacentral:rRNA from 1 species